rnacentral:lncRNA from 1 species
AUGAGCAAAAGCAGGAAGAUGGCUAAGCUAAGUAUUGAUUACAGUCUACUUAAAAGGCCUAGUUUUCAAGGAAUGGGAUUUCAGGUCAGGGACAGUUUCUUGGUUAGCACAGACACUAAAGCCCUAAAUAUACAAACUUCAUUAUUCAGUUUUUUGUUUUGUUGUUUGUUUUCUAAAGGACAUUGCGGCUGUACGAAAAGAAGUCAAGAAGCCUCAGGCCCUCAACUCCAGCCUUACAGUCAUUCAAUGCAUGAAACAUACCACACCUUCAUUAAAUGAACACCAGGAUCUUUCUCUGCCAAUUUUCGCUGGCUUUUCCCUCUUCAUCUACUCAUACUUCCCAUUGCAUAUGGAAUACAUUGCAUGAAUCUGAUACAGCAUUCAUAGCCAACUUUCCAAUCCAUGAAGAAAAUGUGCAGCUCUGACCAGCAGUUAUCAAGUUGGUUGAGGGAAGAAAUCACUAAAAUAGAUCUAUUCAAGACUACUGAGUAUCAUCUUUUAAAAGCUCUUGUAAAUGCUUCAAUGCCCAGUAACAGAUAACUAUUCCGUGCUUAAUUUAAGUUUUAAUUGUUCUAACUUUAUAGUGUAUAAUUCAGAAUCUGAAAUAUUUGGUAGACACAUAAAAUUGUAGAAGUAUGAAAAUGUCUUAUUACUCUAUAAAUAUUUAAUAGAGAGAAGCUAGACUUUACCUGCCAGUUACAGGCUUUUUAAAUCAUCAUGGCAAUAAUUAGUGUGUUGCUCUAUGUACAGAUAUUAAUGGGGUUUUGGGACCUUCUGCAUUGAUGUAGUAUACAAUUUUAAUCUGUGCAGUGGAUGUUAAGCUUACUCUUGAAAAUAAGGAUAAAUUUAGUUUUUAUAUGUCAUGCAAGUGUUUGCCCCAUUUGCUUUCAUUAGAAUUAUUUUGUUCUCAUAAAAUAUAAUUUAUGUACCUACAUUUUCAUGGUACAGUAAGCAAAUACACAUCCUGCCUUCAAGGGCAAUCAUGAGGUUAUAAUAUUUUCUCUCUAAAUUAUACUAAUAGAGUUAACCUAGCUGAAGAAUUCAGUCUGAUAAUGGUCAAAAUGGAUGUAAGUUAUCCAUGGGUGGAUAUAUCACUUUACACAACACCAUUAAGUCUGUUGAAUAUGAUCAGAAUUACCAAAUCAUCUUCCAUUAUUAUGAGAACAUUAUCAAUGCUUUCAAUUAUCCAUUCAUUCAACAAAUAUUUACUGAGCAUCUACAUUGUCCUGGUACUAGGAAUUCAAGAAUGAACUAGAACUAUAGGUUCCUGUUUUUUUCA